rnacentral:rRNA from 1 species
UACGAAGGGGGGCUAGCGUUGCUCGGAAUCACUGGGCGUAAAGGGCGCGUAGGCGGACUUUUAAGUCGGGGGUGAAAGCCCAGGGCUCAACCCUGGAAUUGCCUUCGAUACUGAGAGUCUUGAGUUCGGAAGAGGUUGGUGGAACUGCGAGUGUAGAGGUGAAAUUCGUAGAUAUUCGCAAGAACACCAGUGGCGAAGGCGGCCAACUGGUCCGAUACUGACGCUGAGGCGCGAAAGCGUGGGGAGCAAACAGG